rnacentral:miRNA from 1 species
GUGUCCUUGUUGUCCUGUGCCCUCCUGGCUUCUGCCUGUCCCGGUGGAGCGCCGGAUCUUGGGCUGUUUCCCCGGGGCCCUGUGCUCCCGGGCCUGCACUGUU